AUUAAUAAACUAGGUCGAGAACCUAAAAAUUUAAU
ncrna:unclassified sequences S16-Flavobacteria ribosomal protein leader